CCAAAAUUUCAGAUUCCCCCUUCCUCUCUGAUUUCUCAAACCCUCCUUCCCCCCUCCAAAAAAAAGUCACCCUACCCUCGCUGCCCAAUCGCCGGCGAGAGUCACCGCACCGCUUACCUUUCCCCGUACAAAGCUUUUAAUUGCGUACCAUAGGCGCGCCACUGCCCAAACAUGUCUCUGCCCGUGCGACUAGUCACCGGCGCCACUGCUCACCUCCGAAAGCCCUUCCCCGGCGGAAACGUUGCCCACACUACUAGCCGCUGCCCUUGUUGCUCCACCUGAGGUUUAUUUCCAUAGUUUAAAAUGUUGUUUGUUUGUGAAUCCUAAUUUUUUCAAUUCUAGGUUUUUAUGUAGGAAAUAGUUUGUGAUAAUUGUCUAGCUUAUGAUUUGGUUAACGAUUUGGAUAAAAUAGUGGAUGAAGUAGAUAUAUGAUAAGUUGGGAAAAUUAGAGUUUUGAAUGCUAAUGGUUGUCGAUUCAUUAGUUGAUUAAUAUAAUUAGCCAUCUGGAGAAUCACCAUUGCACCUUAUUGUCAGUUUACACAUGACUUUAUAAGUUUCACUCAUUUAUUAGAGUAAUUCUUUUGCUUGGUCUUAGUAUGAAAUUAUAUAACACAUUAUCGUUUACGUUUUAUAACUUCAUUGAUUUGUAGACUUGAUAAUGGGUGAAUUUGUGAAUAAUAAGUUUACUUGAUAAUGGGUGAAUGUGAAUAAUAAGUUUAGUAAUAUUUGGAGCUAUAUUAAUAAUAAUAAUAAUAAUAAUAAUAAUAAUAAUAAUAAUAAACUUGAUAUAUGUGUGUCUAUGGCUAUAAAAAUGUUAUCCCAUUCACAAAUUUAGAGACUCAACAUUGUAUUGCUUCAGUCAUCUAAGCUAGUAAGUUGAUAAUGCAUUGCCUUGGUAACUAUCAGUAGCUAUGUACCUAAUCUGAAUUUCACGUGCUUAUAAUAAUUUCUUUACAUUCUCUUCUAAGAGUUAGUGAGAUUGCAUAUUGUCAUGCCUAUUGAUAUAGUAUAUGUUCUGUAUCUGAUGUUCAAAGAAUAAAAGGUAGUAAAAACAUAACCUUUAUGUGAGAAAUACAGCAGGUACUAAUGUUUAUUAGCUUGAUCUUUUUUGUUUAUUGUGCGGUACUUUAUGGAGUGGGAGAGAAUAAGAAGGGUAUUGAAGCCAAUAUGCAAGUUCUAUAUGUGCAUAUGGAUAAAUAAUUUGAAGGAACACAUGAUGUUGUUGCGAAGAUGAAGUUAGCUAAGUAUUCUAAUGCGGAUGAGAAUGUGUGAUAAAGAGCUUCUAAGAAAAAACCUUAAGAGUUAGAUAAUUGUGUAGUCAUGUAGAACCUUUUAUGUAUUUUCAUUUUAAUAUUGUAUACUUUGAUUUCAUGGAAAUUAUUAUAUAAGUUUUUUA